UCAGUUAAAGACUUUGGAAAA
rnacentral:piRNA from 1 species